AUAACUGCCGCUGUUUCACAAUUUGCAACACCCAUCUUUUCAAAAGGAAACCAGUGUUAUCGAGUACCCAUCAGUAUAACUGAGAUAUUUCCUUCGGUUGCUUUUAACUUUGCUGGUGGUGCAUCCAUGGUUUUAAGACCAGUAGACUACCUUGUACAUGAUGGUUUAGUUGAUGGUGCUGCAAUGUGGUGCAUUGGCUUUCAGAAAACUCAGGAUCAAGCGCUAACUAUUUUAGGAGGUUGGUUCCAGCCCUAAAAGAUAUAUUUUACUGGACAGAUAUGUUGGCAUAGUGUAGUGGCUUAAGCAUAAGAUAACUUGCUCCUACCCCCCAUGCCCUCAUCUUUGGUGAGCAGUAUUUAGCAGGUUUUUAGUCAUUCCAUUUUAGUGUAAGGCUAUUUAGCAACUCAAAAAUCUCCAUAUGGCACAUGGGAUGACACAACCUGUUCUAAAUGCGACUAGGCAUUUUUUUAUUUUUUAUUUUUUAUUUUUUUGCUGAUAAAUAUAAUGCGACUAGGCAUUUUGUCAAAUUGGAUUGGGAUCACGCUAGUUGCUUGCUGCUCAUCAGGCCUUCUUUUUUGUUUUUUCAAGUAAACUUGUGCUGCAAUAAGUUUCUAAUUUGCUUUUCCUAUUUUGUUUUUGUGUAUUUAUUUAGUAUUCCUAAUCUUUUUGUUUAAUUAUCAUAUCUAUGUAUGCAUAUAUUUAGAUGGUCAUAUAUUUUAUGAGUAUCAAUAUUCAAUAGCAUGGGGGGAUAAUUGUGCAUGGGGGGAUAAUUGUGCACAUGAGUUUAUUGCAUGUUUGGUAUUGUUUUUGUUUUCUGUUUCAUUUUCAUUUUCUGGAAAACACGGAAAACUUGUUUAGCUAUCCGUUUUCGAAAAGUGUAUAUAAAAAAAUUCUGAGAACAACCCACUUUAAGGAAACCCCCAAACGCGAUUUUUGCACAAAAAAUCAGAACAAUGGAUGUAUUUGAACUUUUGAUUGUUUGUGUGUCUGGAAACACAAAACAAUAAUAAAAUAAGGAAACAAAAAUGAUACAAGACAGGUUUUUUUUUUUUUUUUUUUUUUUUUUUUUUUUUUUUUUGUGUGCUGUCCAGUGACUUUUGUUGAUUUGUCAUGUGAAAAAAAAAUGUUACCUUAGGGAAUGUCAUUAUAACAUUAGACAAUCCAAGUUUCUAAAUUGGGUACGAGUGUUGAACACAUAUCUCACACCCAUACUCUUGUCAUAUCCGGUGCAUAUGAAUACACUGGCAAGUAGAAGAGUCCAUAUAACACAUGUUAGGUUAGCAAAACCAAAGCAUAGAUUAUACAUAUAGCGUUGGUUGCAGGUGUACAGUUAUUUCAGGUAAGUUUAUGGUUUUUAUUUCUUCACUCAUUGUAAACCUAAUGGCUGCCAAGUUUGCUUAAUUGAAAGAUUGCAUUGCACUCCAGUUUGUGCAAUAUGGCAUUUUAUCUUUCUUCUCUUUGGUCUGUGAGCAUUCUUGGUAUCAAGAAGCUUUCUCUGCAGAAAUUCCUCUUUAUUGCACAUAUUCUACUCUGUUUGCAUCCAUGUGUGUGCGCGGGCAUGCUUUAAAGUUCGUUGACAUGGAAAUACAUUAUAAUGUGUGGCUUGAAAUGGAACGUGAAAUGCUUGAUCAAUCAUUAAAGAGGACACCUUUAAUUAUUUAUUUAUUUAUUUUGGUAAAUAGGACACCUUUAAUUAUUUGAAGCAAUGUUUUGAAAAUCGGACCAGACCGGCCAGUUCGACCGGUUGAACUGUCAACCGGUCUAUGGUCCGGUCCGGAUAUACCCUCUAACCCGUUCCCUCUUGAAAAUUGGUCAUUUUAAGCUAAACCGGUGCGAACCGUGGUUAAACCUCUAAAUCAGACGAACCGUCUUGGGUUGAAGCAAACCGGACCGGUUUGCUAUGUUUGGUCCAAUAUUGAAAAAGUUGAUGUUAGAGGGACUUGAAUCCAACACCUCAAGCUCCAAAGAGCAUGAAUUUCCACUCUGCCACCAUGGUUUCUUGUUAAUAUAUAGAAAAUAUAUAAUAUUAUGUGUAUUCAAACAGAUUUUCCUCAAACAAAUCUAUAAUUAAUAUUUUUACAAACAAUAUUAAUAUAAAAAUAUAUAUAAACAUAUAUGUUUGAUGAAUAUAUAUAUAUAUAUUUAAAUUAUAAAAAUAUUUUAAAUGAAUGUAUUUUAUUUAUUUUUAAAUUAUAAAAAUAUUCAUAAAAUAAUUAUGACAUCACGAUUUGAUUCUGGUUCAACCCGACAGUUGAACUAGUGACCUGUUCACCCGAUCUCUUUUCAGGUUCGCUCACCAGUCCGGUUUUUAAAACAUUGACUUGAAGCUUUUUUAGGUUUUGACCACAAGUGUUCUUUCUUUGGUUUCCUAACGACUAAUGAUUAUUUCUCCACUGAAAAUCGCUGAAUUAUUUGUAGUAUUUUCCUUCAUAAGUCCUCUUUUUAUAAGUGUUUUCCUUCUCAAGUGCUGUCAGCAAGUACAACACUAUGUACUGGAGGUGAAUGAACAGGAACAUAAAACAACCUUUUAUGGAACAAAAAAGGCCAAUCCUUGCACGCCCUGAUCCCAAAACCCUGUGAUACGCUGUACAUGGUUGUCAAAUUCUUGACACAGAUUGUAGGCUCUUACGAUCCUACGACCUCAAUUUAGCUACAUGAUCUGAAUUGCACUAGGAUCUUAAAUUUUUUAGAGUCUUAGGUCGUAUAGAAGCACUACAAUCCCGAUUCUACUAUGAUUCGAUUCUACCAAAUUUUUUACAUAUUAUUUGUUUCGUAUACAUGUAUGUGUAUAUAUAUCAAAAUUUUAAUCAAAACUCUCUCUGCAAAUGUCUCCUCUUAUGAGAAUUCAAUUUGCAAAUUUCAAGAUUGUGAAAACUUCUCUUUACUAAUAGAACAAGAUUUCUUCAAAUUAUUUGAAUUAAAAUGUUUGGAAAGAGAUUUGAAAGUUUUGUCUCUUUAAAUCAAAGUUAGCGCAUUCAAUUUAAUAUUUGAAUAAAAUUGUUUGGAGGGAGAGCUGGAAACUUGAUUUCCCUCUAAAAUCAAUAUUAGUGACCAUUUUAUCAAUUUUUAUUAAUAAUAGAUAUUUUUAGUGAAUGUUAUAUAAAAAUUUGUAUUAGUAUAUUAUUUAUCUUUAAUGAUUUUAAAAUUAUGUAACAUCCAAUAUCAUUAUUGAUAUUUUUUCACUUUAUUUUGUACUAAAAGUAGAAUCUUAUGAUCCUCGAUUUGAUUCUAUGAUCCGAUCCACACUAUCCUCCCAACGAUCCCAUAUAAGAUCCCCAUUUUUAACAACCUUGAUGCUAUAGCUAAGAGAUUGUUUUGAACAUGAAGGAAUAUGAAGCUUCCAUUCUUAGAAGGAUGCUUUGGUGGGUCGGUGUAUGAGGUUUAAAGACCUAUAAUGGUCGUGUGUGUAGUUGGUGCCCAAUGCAAGAUUUCAUCUUGCAACUUGAUCAACUACCCAUGACUCUAAAAUAUGCACUUGGAUUAGCAAAAAUCUGACUCAAAUUUUCAGUCUUAAAUGAAAAUCAUUUACUAAAUUAUCUAUUUUUGGCUAAUUCUUCUUAUCAAACCUUGCUCAUUAAAUUUGAUGCAUCUAGGUAACAUCGAGCCUUGUCUUUGUGUGUGUUAAAUUCUUUUGUGCUUCUUUCCAGCUUUGCAUAUGUCAUGACUAUUAGAAACAUAAUAAAGAAAUAAAUAGCAUCUUUUACAUUGUCCAUGAGUAUACACGGUUUCUACCAAUUUUAUGUUUCAUUUACCCUUGAAGCUUGCAAGUUGUCAAAAGCAUUGAGGUUUAGUUGCCUCACACGCUCACCUUUUAACAUUGAGAUUAAUGAACUCAUCGGCUUCUUUUUGCAGAUCUUGUUCUUAAAGAUAAGAUUUUUGUUUAUGACUUGGCUCAUCAACGGCUUGGGUGGGCUGAUUUUGAUUGUUCAUUGUCUGUAAAUGUCUCCAUAACUGCUAGCAAGGAUGAAUUCAUCAAUCCCGGGCAGCUGAGUGUGAGCGGCU